UUUGAAGGUUGAGGACGGUGUACUUUCUAGGGAUAGGCAAGGAAGCAGCCUCACAGGGCAAUUCAGUUUGGAGAAAUCGAUUUUAGGGAUACUCCCUCAAACAAAGACCGAAAUGUUCACUGUGUGUACUGCGCCUGCGCCCUACGAAGUCGAGCAAGCACUCCCAGAAAUCUCUGCGACGCACUUGCGCAUUCACGGUGACUGGCCCGCCCAGAGCAGCGAGUUUGUCUUCUGUUCCAAGCUCACUUUCUGGCUGUGUUCCCCUCAAACCACAGCGGGCGCUGUUUCUUCUUGGCCAACUUGUCAGCCUCCAACUGUGAAUUUGGGAUUCUUAUGCAACUGUUGA
ensembl:lincRNA